rnacentral:lncRNA from 1 species
UCUGAAUAAAGGUUUUUCUUUGCUUUUUCUGCAGUUCCUGGAACAGUUCACAUUCCUGCGUCCUUGUUGGCCGUUCUGUCUCACCACGUCUUCAAAUGCACAGGAGAUGAUUCUCCCUUGAUCCAGGGGGAAUCAGGGGUCCCUGAUCGAGGCCCCAAGUCAGGGGCCGCUCCAAGUGUGAUGAAGGGCAUCCCUGAUUUGUGACACUGACAGCAAGACAUGCUUGGUGAAGACCUGAAAGGAAAAGAGCCUGGCUGUUGAAUUGGGCCCUAAAUCCCAAUUAAUUUCUUUGAAGGAAAGUUAGCUGAAUGCAAAAAGUAUCAAGGAACAGAGAAACAUUCUACGGUCAUUAAAACCCAAAGGGAGAAGAUAACUUUUCGGAGGAGCAUCCUGCAAAUAAGCACUAGAACAGUUCAUUUUAAGUAAAUCUGAGUUCCGAUUGUGUAAUCAUGGAUCUGCUCACAUACACAUGCAUGCACCAAAAGAAACUGGAAGAGUUGCCGGGGGAAAGUAAUGAGACAGGUGUGCUUCUGGAGUGAUUCUCUCAGCACUGCCAUUCCAAUGGAGUUUGCAGUAGGGUCUCCGUUCAUAGGAGUUGCUACACGGGAGUUGAUCCUGUGGUCGUCUGUCAUGUCAUUAGGACUUGAUCCAGCUAGAUGUCUGAGAGGAGAUGGUAAGAAUUCCACAACAGGCCUCUGCACACCCACUUAGUUGCCACACAUCUAUAUAUCAUUGGUUUCUGGAAAACACACUCCUGUGGUGAAAAUGCCAUGCACCUAACGAGGUAGGCCAGCAGCUCUCUGACUGUCCAUCUSCUGGUCUACCAGAUUAAACAUUACCCCUUGUGUCUCCUUUCAAGCAAUGACUUUUCUCUGAACUAAAUAUGGUUCUCAAAGAAGAACAUUUGUCAUAUCUGCACCAGAUACACUACCAGACAAGUGGUAUAGAUGGGCAGGAUGGGAAUUUAAACAUAGGACUGGCAAAAAGUAUAACCUAUUAUUUUGGUUAUUUUUUUUAUGUGAUUGCUCUUCACUGGUAAAUGAAGCAAAAUGCAGAAUUACAGUAAGAUGAUUACACAAUGCUAGUGAGUGAGUCCUGUGUGCAUCUGCUAUGUGAAGGAACCUCGGCUGUUGGCUGAUAAAAUCUGUCCAAGAGACAAAUACUUCAUGGAGAAUUUCUUCCACAAUAAACCUUGCAGGUCCUUGUGUCUUUCA